rnacentral:rRNA from 2 species
CCUACGGGAGGCUGCAGUGGGGAAUAUUGCACAAUGGAGGGAACUCUGAUGCAGCGACGCCGCGUGAGUGAUGAAGGCCUUCGGGUCGUAAAACUCUGUCCUAAGGGACGAUAAUGACGGUACCUUAGGAGGAAGCCCCGGCUAACUACGUGCCAGCAGCCGCGGUAAUACGUAGGGGGCAAGCGUUGUCCGGAAUUAUUGGGCGUAAAGGGUGCGUAGGCGGCCUUUUAAGUCAGAUGUGAAAGGUCACGGCUCAACCGUGGUAAGCAUUUGAAACUGGAAGGCUUGAGUUAAGGAGAGGAAAGUGGAAUUCCUAGUGUAGCGGUGAAAUGCGUAGAUAUUAGGAGGAAUACCAGUGGCGAAGGCGACUUUCUGGCCUUUAACUGACGCUGAGGCACGAAAGCGUGGGGAGCAAACAGGAUUAGAUACCCCUGUAGUC